rnacentral:rRNA from 1 species
CGCAACCAGUUGCGGCGGAGGGUGAGUACACGUGGGUAACCUGCCUGUAAGACUGGGAUAACUCCGGGAAACCGGAGCUAAUACCGGAUAGUUCCUUGAACCGCAUGGUUCAAGGAUGAAAGACGGUUUCGGCUGUCACUUACAGAUGGACCCGCGGCGCAUUAGCUAGUUGGUGAGGUAACGGCUCACCAAGGCGACGAUGCGUAGCCGACCUGAGAGGGUGAUCGGCCACACUGGGACUGAGACACGGCCCAGACUCCUACGGGAGGCAGCAGUAGGGAAUCUUCCGCAAUGGACGAAAGUCUGACGGAGCAACGCCGCGUGAGUGAUGAAGGUUUUCGGAUCGUAAAGCUCUGUUGUUAGGGAAGAACAAGUGCAAGAGUAACUGCUUGCACCUUGACGGUACCUAACCAGAAAGCCACGGCUAACUACGUGCCAGCAGCCGCGGUAAUACGUAGGUGGCAAGCGUUGUCCGGAAUUAUUGGGCGUAAAGGGCUCGCAGGCGGUUUCUUAAGUCUGAUGUGAAAGCCCCCGGCUCAACCGGGGAGGGUCUGG